AUUAGAUACCCUGGUAGUCCACGCCCUAAACGAUGUUAACUAGUUGUUGGGAAGUAAUAUUCUCAGUAACGCAGCCAACGCGAGAAGUUAACCGCCUGGGAAGUACGGUCGCAAGACUAAAACUCAAAGGAAUUGACGGGGACCCGCACAAGCGGUGGAUGAUGUGGAUUAAUUCGAUGCAACGCGAAAAACCUUACCUACCCUUGACAUGUCAGGAAGCUCUUGUAAUGAGAGUGUGCCCGCAAGGGAGCCUGAACACAGGUGCUGCAUGGCUGUCGUCAGCUCGUGUCGUGAGGUGUUGGGUUAAGUCCCGCAACGAGCGCAACCCUUGUCACUAGUUGCUACGAAAGGGCACUCUAGUGAGACUGCCGGUGACAAACCGGAGGAAGGUGGGGAUGACGUCAAGUCCUCAUGGCCCUUAUGGGUAGGGCUUCACACGUCAUACAAUGGUCGGAACAGAGGGCAGCGAAGUCGUGAGACGGAGCCAAUCCCAGAAAACCGAUCGUAGUCCGGAUUGCAGUCUGCAACUCGACUGCAUGAAGUCGGAAUCGCUAGUAAUCGCGGAUCAGCAUGCCGCGGUGAAUACGUUCCCGGGUCUUGUACACACCGCCCGUCAAACAAUGGGAGUGGUGUUUACCAGAAGUCGUUAGCCUAACCGCAAGGAGGGCGGCGACCACGGUGAGCACCGUGACUAAUGUUAAGUCGUAACAAGGUAACAAGGGCGAAUUCGCGGCC
rnacentral:rRNA from 1 species